GUGCUCACUUCAGCAGCACAUAUACUAAAACUGAAAUAAUACAGAGAUUAGCAAGACCCCUGUGCAAUAAUGACACCCAAAUUUGUGAAGUGUUCCAUAUUUUU
ensembl:snRNA U6 U6 spliceosomal RNA